rnacentral:lncRNA from 1 species
AAGGUGUUGCACGGCAAUAGGGUUAUUCUGGAAGAGAAGAGGAUGAGAGGAUAUUACUACCUGAUGGGGAGCCCAAUGCGAGGUGGAGCUUCAAGAGCUAGAAGGAGCCCAGAGCAAGAUGAAGCUCCAGAUGGAAGUGGAUCAAGCACGAGAUGCGAGACUCGGGAGGAUGAGAGGCGAUAUCGCAAGGUGAGAUUCUUGUUGCCGCAGAAUGAUACCCCGACAAGUUUCAGGUCAGGAGGAGUACAGCAUAUGAUAGAGUUAGGAUCGAACGAUCUAGCUCGACUCUUAUGUCUGCCCAUCUAUGAUCAGCAGGCAAUUGCCCCAGGGCAUGGGGACGAGAAGAUCUAGAAGCUCUCAGAGUUAAGAGGAGAUCGAAUGUCGAGUCGAGAUGAAAAUUGUUAGGAUUUGAUACCUCAAAAUUUAAUCUACACUAAGCCCACAGCGAGGUCUGCGAUGACGAACGAAGUCCAACGAGCCUAAGAUUGGCCCAAACGGAGAUCGGAUGAAGGAGAU